AUGCCCGCCGCCGGCCUCCGCCCGCUCGCCGUCGCCCUCCUCCUCCUCCUCUCCGUCGCCUCCGCCAACGCCAGGGUGGGCGACGAGUGCUCCGCCGGCGCAGGCUGCGGCUCGGGGCUGCACUGCGCCGCCUGCGGCGACGGCGGGGCCGGCGUCUGCGCGCGCGCCACCCCCGUCGACCCCCUCACGCACGGCACCGGCCUCCCCUUCAACAACUACUCCUGGCUCACCACGCACAACUCCUUCGCCCUCGCCGGCGCCCCCUCCGCCACCGGCGCCGCCAUCAUCGCCCCCACCAACCAGGAGGACUCCGUCACCGCGCAGCUCAAGAAUGGUGUUAGGGGCUUGAUGCUUGACACUUACGAUUUCAACAAUGAUGUCUGGCUGUGCCACUCAUUUGGUGGGAAAUGCUACAAUAUUACAGCAUUUCAACCUGCCAUCAAUGUCUUUAAAGAAAUCCAGACAUUCCUUGAAGCAAACCCUUCAGCAGUAAUCACGGUUUUCCUGGAAGACUACACUGUUGCAGGUUCCCUGCCAAAAGUAUUCAAUGCUUCCGGCCUGAUGAAGUAUUGGUUCCCGGUGGCAAAAAUGCCCAAGAGCGGUGGCAACUGGCCUUUGCUCAAGGACAUGAUCAGCCAGAAUGAGCGUCUGCUUGUCUUCGCAUCAAAGAAAGCAAAAGAAGCAAGCGAGGGGAUUCCGUUCGAGUGGAACUACGUCGUAGAAAGCCAAUAUGGCAAUGAGGGUAUGGUGGAGGGCAAGUGCCCAAAUCGCGGAGAGUCCCCUGCCAUGGAUUCCAAGAGCCAGUCGCUUGUUCUGGUGAACUUCUUCACGACGGACCCGAACCCCACCGGGGUUUGCGGGAACAAUUCAGCACCACUUGUUAGCAUGCUAAAGACCUGCCAUGAUCUGUCGGGCAAUCGGUGGCCCAACUACAUCGCCGUUGAUUACUACAUGAGGAGCGACGGCGGAGGCGCUCCCUUGGCCACCGAUGUGGCUAAUGGCCAUCUAGUAUGUGGCUGUGACAACAUUGCUUACUGCAAGGCCAACUCGACAUUCGGAACCUGCGUGAUACCUCCGCCCCCACCGCCGUCGCCGCCCAGGGCGCCGGCCAAGGGUACGAGCCCAGGCGGCGAUCCCAGUGCGGCGGUGGCUCGGCUUCCGGCCUUCCAGUGGAGCUGCUUCCUCGGACUGACGUCCCUGGCUCUGCUCUUCCUCUCGUAA
rnacentral:rRNA from 1 species